AACGAACGCUGGCGGCAUGCCUAACACAUGCAAGUCGAACGAACCCUUCGGGGUUAGUGGCGCACGGGUGCGUAACGCGUGGGGAUCUGCCCUUUGCUUCGGAAUAACAGUUAGAAAUGACUGCUAAUACCGGAUGAUGUCGUAAGACCAAAGAUUUAUCGGCAAAGGAUGAACCCGCGUAGGAUUAGCUAGUUGGUGGGGUAAAGGCCUACAAGGCGACGAUCCUUAGCUGGUCUGAGAGGAUGAUCAGCCACACUGGGACUGAGACACGGCCCAGACUCCUACGGGAGGCAGCAGUGGGGAAUAUUGGACAAUGGGCGAAAGCCUGAUCCAGCAAUGCCGCGUGAGUGAUGAAGGCCUCGGUUGUAAGUACGUCUUUUACCUAGGUAGUAGAUAAUAGACAGUACCU
rnacentral:rRNA from 1 species